CCUGUAAAGGGCAAACCCGGUGAAAGCCGGGGGCGCAAAGCUACGGGCCUAAGGGUAAUAAAGCCUAUCGGCCGCCGGGCUGCCGGGG
rnacentral:ncRNA from 1 species